rnacentral:tRNA from 1 species
GCCGGGGUGGCGGAAUUGGUAGACGCAACGGACUUAGACAAAUGAGUGCUGGGGCGGAAACGCCUCACGUAGAUCUGCUCAAAGUCAGGGAAGCCUUUUGACUGGUAAUCCUGAGCCAAGCCCGAUUCGGGAAGGUGCAGAGACUUGACGGGCAGCACCUACGUCCGGCCGGAUACGGUGAAGAGAAAGUCCAGACCACGCCCCACCAAUGAAAAUUGGAGUGGUACGAAAAUCCGUUGGGCCUUGUGGCCCGUGUGGGUUCGAGUCCCACCCCCGGUA